GUGAGUCUGAGGUCAGCCUGCNGUUACAG
rnacentral:piRNA from 1 species